GGGCCAUAACUCAGUGGCAGAGCUUUCUGUCUUGCAAGCAGAAGGUUCCAGGUUCAAUUCCUAGCAUCUCCA